GCAGGGAUGGCAGAGCGGUCAAUUGCACCAGACUGUAAAUCUGGCGCCUCACGGCUACGGGAGUUCGAAUCUCUCUCCCUGCA
rnacentral:tRNA from 1 species